rnacentral:rRNA from 1 species
UGAACGCUGGCGGCGUGCCUAAUACAUGCAAGUCGAGCGAACAGACGAGGAGCUUGCUCCUCUGACGUUAGCGGCGGACGGGUGAGUAACACGUGGAUAACCUACCUAUAAGACUGGGAUAACUUCGGGAAACCGGAGCUAAUACCGGAUAAUAUAUUGAACCGCAUGGUUCAAUAGUGAAAGACGGUUUUGCUGUCACUUAUAGAUGGAUCCGCGCCGCAUUAGCUAGUUGGUAAGGUAACGGCUUACCAAGGCAACGAUGCGUAGCCGACCUGAGAGGGUGAUCGGCCACACUGGAACUGAGACACGGUCCAGACUCCUACGGGAGGCAGCAGUAGGGAAUCUUCCGCAAUGGGCGAAAGCCUGACGGAGCAACGCCGCGUGAGUGAUGAAGGUCUUCGGAUCGUAAAACUCUGUUAUUAGGGAAGAACAAAUGUGUAAGUAACUAUGCACGUCUUGACGGUACCUAAUCAGAAAGCCACGGCUAACUGCGUG